GAAGAAGAAGACAGAGAUGUGAUGAUGGAAGCGGAGGUUGGAGUGAUGUGCAUUAAAGAUGGAGGAGGGGCUGCAAGCCAAGCCGUGCAGGCGGCCUCUAGAAGCUGGGAAAGGCAAGGAGACAGCUUCUUGCUUGGAGCCCCCGGGAGAAGCGCAGCCCUGCCGACACCUUGAUUUUAGACUUCUGGCCUCCGGAACCGCCGUGCCCGUCCCCUGCCCAUCAUGCCCUUCCAGCUGGCCUUUCAUCCCGCAGCGAACCUCUGUGUGUCCGGCUCAGAGUCUCCAUAAACCGCACCAUGGAGCUGGCCCGAAGAUGCAGAAAUGGAGGUUCAGAGCAAAAAGUGAUUUCCCGCAAGGUCAAACCAUCAUUGAAAAAUCUCUUGAGAUGGCCUGACAGACGUGUGACCUGGCAUGGCUGGAUUCCACCCCGGUGGCGAAGUGUUAUUUCCUUUAAUGCACACAUAUACACACACAGCUGUCUGGAAGAAUUCCUGGGCCCAGCACGGAGCAAAAUUUCAAAAACACACAGAAGUCGAGAGGACCAGACACAGAUUCCAGCAUCCCCAGCCCUCGGCUUCAUCCCCGGCAACGUCUGGCAAUCUCGUUUUAUCACCUCCUGUGGGCUCCCUCUCUGGCUUUUUCCCCAUUUGGCUGGAGGAUUUGAAAGCAAAUUGCAGACAUCACGCCACGCACGCAUGUUGUUUUUUCAAAAACUUAAUUUUGAAAUAAUUAUAGAGUCGCAGGGAAUUGCGAAGACAGGACAGCGUGGUCCU
rnacentral:lncRNA from 1 species